GCUUACGGCCAUAUCACCCUGAACACGCCCGAUCUCGUCUGAUCUCGGAAUCUAAGCAGGGUCGGUCCUGGUCAGUACUUGGAUUGGAGAUCGCCUGGGAAUACCAGGUGCUGUAAACU
rnacentral:rRNA from 1 species